AGAUGUGCCAGAACAAGAAAUUAUCGACCGACAAGACCGAGUAGAAGAUGUGCCAGAACAAGAAAUUAUCGACCGACAAGACCGAGUAGAAGAUGUGCCAGAACAAGAAAUUAUCGACCGACAAGACCGAGUAGAAGGUUAGUAAAAAUUUAUUUAAAAGUGUAGUGAAUAUGUGAAUAUUAAGUGAAUAUGUUACUCCUCCCAUCCCUUGAAAUUACAGUGUCCUCACUGUUUACAAUAUGUUUUUUUUAAUGUACGUAAAUAAAUUAUAAAUAUAAUUAUAAUGAAACUAAGAGUUAUAGUCAUAUAAGUUAUUGACAAGUUAAGUUUAAAAUUAGAAUUUACU